rnacentral:misc_RNA from 1 species
AAAUGCGAUAAGUAAUGUGAAUUGCAGAAUUCAGUGAAUCAUCGAAUCUUUGAACGCACAUUGCGCCCGCCAGUAUUCUGGCGGGCAUGCCUGUUCGAGCGUCAUUACAACCCUCAGGCCCCCGGGCCUGGCGUUGGGGAUCGGCGGAAGCCCCCUGUGGGCACAACGCCGUCCCCCAAAUACAGUGGCGGUCCCGCCGCAGCUUCCAUUGCGUAGUAGCUAACACCUCGCAACUGGAGAGCGGCGCGGCCACGCCGUAAAACACCCAACUUCUGAAUGUUGACCUCGAAUCAGGUAGGAAUACCCGCUGAACUUAAGC